UGUAAAGAUUCAGUUGUAGAUUUAGUUACAGUUAGUAGACUAUUUGGAAGCAAAAGUUUGUUCACUAUUGAAGAGCUCGACGAUAGAGCUUUCAAACAAAAUCUUUCAGCUAAAUAAAUGCGUCUUACAAUUAAAUGAGAAAUACAAGUCUCUACUUCCAUUGAAUUAACAGGUGUAGAGCGCAUAGCCCCACUUAUUAUGCGCAAGCCAAUGUUUUGAAUAACAUCAAGUUUUUUUAAUAAUGUGGAAUUGGCUUGCAUAUAUGCAAGGAAACUAUAAUCAAAGUGACUUCUGACCAUGCUUUUAUAUAAUAGAGAUAGGACUUUAGGAUCAGAGCCCCAAAACGUUCCAGUCAAACAUCUCAAUAAAUUAAUGCCUUUUAACGCAUUUUUGCUAAUAUAAUUAAUAUGUCUGUCAAAUUUUAAUUUAUUAUCGAUAAUUACACCCAAAAAUUUCUUUUGAUUUACAAAUGGAAUAUCUGUACCAUUAUAUUUGAUGUUAUUCCCCACUGGGCUGCCAAAAAGCAUACAUGAACUUUUGGAAGUAUUGAUAUUUAAUUUUAACAAAUUUUUAUAAUAAGACUGCAACUGGAACAGUGCAGAAUUAAUAGUAUUUUUAGCUAUUUCUAUAUUUCUAUUUACACUAUACAUUAACAAGUCAUCCGCAAAUUGUAAAAUUUUAACAUCUCCUAAGAAGAAAUUUUCAAUUUGUGAGGUGUAUAAAUUAUACAAAAUUGGUGACAAUGCUGAACCUUGCAUAAGACCUUUACUAGUUUGGUUUAUCCCAUGGAGUAUAUUAUUGUACUUAACAUAAAAGUGUCUAUUAUUAAAAAAAUUUGAAAGCCAUUUUAACAUUUUUCCAGGGAUACCGAUUUCAUGAAGACAAUUGAUGAGCUGGUUUAAGUCCACAUUAUCAUAAGCCCCCUCUAUAUCCAAAAAUAUACAUACUGCUGUGGAUUUAGACAAUUGACAAUUCUUCAUAUCAUAUAUAAAUGAAGUUAUACUCUCUGAUGCACUUUUACCUCUACGGAAACCAUAUUGAAAACCUGGUGGACAAUAAACACAAAGUAUUGAUAAGUCACCAACAUUGGUUUCUAAAGAAAUUGCUAUGGAUUGAACAUCUUCAUAAAAUUUUGUUUUCAAAAGUUUAUAUUUAAAUGUAUUUCUUAAUAAAAUACCUACGCCACCAUG